rnacentral:misc_RNA from 1 species
AAGAGCGCCAUCUUGCGGUAGAAGCAUAUCAGUUCUAACAAGUGGUCUGCGCUAGCUGGCAAGUCGUUGCAAGGAAACGGGAAAUUUGGUUUAUUCUUAUUACCGUUCACUCCGUGUAUGGGAGCUGUGACUCAUAGGCAAAACGCUUGGCUGCUGUCGGGCAAUCUGUAUUCUCUUGCCUUUCCGUAUUUUAUGCAAGUCAGCCUUCAAAACGUUUCGAUCAAAGAGUUUUUAUGCUCAUCAGCGGAGCACCAUUGUUGGACCUGCUGGAAGUAGGCUCCCGCCCCCGCACUCCGCAGUCAACCUACCUGCCGCAAGAUUCAAGAAGCGUAACGUCGUUAUGUCAGUGUUCACAAUCGAACAAGUGCGAAGAGAUUGAAUUGAAUUGAGUCAAUCUAGUAUUAUCUGUAGUCAUUCCUGUAACGAGCAGUUAACAUGCCAGAGAAACAAGAUGAUACAAGUGUACGAGUGGCUGUUCGGAUCCGUCCUCAGCUAGCAAGAGAGAAGAUAGAUGCAUGUCGUGUGUGUACAGCAGUCAGUCCAGAUCAACCACAGGUUAUUCUUGGACCUGAUCGUAUGUUUACAUAUGAUCAUGUAUUUGAUAUGGACAGUCAACAAGAUUCCAUCUAUCAAAGAACGGUACAUGAUCUCAUUGAAGGGUGUUUCGAGGGCUACAAUGCAACUGUCUUUGCUUACGGCCAGACAGGAGCUGGUAAAACGUAUAGUAUGGGGACUGGGUUUGAGCCUGGACUUACUGAAGAUCAGAAAGGAAUCAUACCCCGAGCUGUAAGGCAUCUAUUCACAGGAAUUGAAGAAAGGCAAAGAAACGCUGCUGAUAAAAGUGAACCUCCUCCUGAGUUUAAGAUCUAUGCAGAAUUCAUGGAGUUAUACAAUGAAGAGAUCCUAGACCUGUUUGAUUCUGCAAGGGAUAUGGAAUCUAGUAGGAGUAAGAAAUCUCACAUCAAGAUUCAUGAAGAUGCUGGGGGUGGGAUCUAUGUGGUUGGCGUGACAACACGGACUGUGACAUCAGAACAGGAGACAUUGCAAGCUUUACAAGGCGGGGCAUUAUCAAGGACAACAGCCAGUACAAAGAUGAAUUCACAGAGUUCUCGAUCUCAUGCAAUCUUUACAUUACAUAUUAAACAACAGAGGCUUAUUAAAGUGACAGCUGAAAUAGAAGGUGAAGAUGAGAAAGAAACAGAGAAGACUGAGGGCGAUGGAAUGAAUGAGUUUGAAAUGCUUACGGCUAAAUUCCAUUUUGUUGAUCUGGCUGGCUCCGAGAGAUUGAAGAGAACAGGUGCAACAGGGGAUAGAGCGAAAGAAGGAAUAUCAAUUAAUUGUGGAUUGCUUGCUCUAGGUAAUGUGAUCAGUGCUCUUGGUGAUCCAUUAAAGAAGUCAUCUCAUGUUCCAUAUAGAGAUUCUAAAUUGACAAGAUUACUUCAAGAUUCAUUAGGUGGUAACAGCCGUACAUUGAUGAUAGCCUGUGUGAGUCCAUCUGAUCCUGACUUCAUGGAGACCUUGAACACGUUGCGAUACGCCAACAGAGCAAGAAAUAUCAAGAAUGCAGUCAUUGCUAACCAAGACAAGACAAGCCGUCAGUUAGCUCUACUCAGAACAGAGAUUAAACGACUACAAGAUGAACUCAAUGAAUACAAACAGGGUAAGAGGUCAGUGAACUCAGAUGGAGUUGAGGAGAUCAAUGAUCUAUUUCAUGAGAACACAAUGCUUCAGAUGGAGAAUAGUAAUCUACGUCAACGAAUUAAAGCUUUACAAGAAACCAUUGAUGGUCUGACGGCUAGGAUUGCUUUAUUGGUUGCAGAACAAGCUAGAUAUGGCAUGUCUGCUUCAACAGAUCGGUCUCGUUACACCAUGUCUACAGACUUAGGUGGUACAGAUGGAGAUGAUGAAACAAUGUUAAUGAUGACAGGAUACAUCAAAGAGGUAGAAGAAUUGAGGGCCAAGUUGGUUGAGAGUGAGAGUAUGAACUCUGCUUUAAGAAGGAAGAAUGUUGAUUCACCAGUCAGGGUUAAUUCUAGAGGAUCAGUAAUGAGUCCUUCUCAUGUUUCACUUAGACCAAGCUCUGCCAUCUUUACUGCACCAAUAUUUGAGAAUGAAUUUCAUGGUGAUGAUGAUGUGAGGGUUUCUUCUGUUCUCUCUGAUGCUAAGAAACAAAUAGAAGUUGAUCAAGAGAAGAUAAGACAAGUUGAAAAGAGGAGACAUUCACAUGGGGGUAGUGAAAAAGACAUGGAGUCAUGUGAAGAGAUUACAGACGAAAGCCAUGAAUCAGUUCAGGAUCAUGAGAUGGAAGGAACAAAAGAUGAAGAUGAAGAAAAAGAAGAAGAGGAUUCAGAUGAUGAAGAUGAUGAUGAGAAAGAUAGUAGUAGUAGUAGUGAUUCAGAAUCAGAUGAAGAAGAGAAUGCGCAACUACAGGAGAACCUUGCCGAGAUUGCAUGUGAAAUCACCAUCAAACAAAGACUAAUAGAAGAACUGGAGUUAAGUCAAAAGAGACUUCACACUAUGAAGAUGCAAUAUGAAGAGAAACUAGGCUCUUUACUUAAUAAGAUCAAAGAAACAGAAAGUGAAAGAGAUAAAGUCUUGGAAAACCUGGGAUCAAUGGCUGAAUCAAGGACAAAAGACAAAGCUGAAAAGAUCCGCAAGGAAUAUGAGAUAAAACUGAAGAAACUUUCAGAGGAGAAAGAUAGACUCACUAAGGCUCAGAAGGAACAUAACAAGAUUUUAAAGAGCAAGUCACAGUUUGAAAGGCAGAUGAGAGGACUCAAAGAUGAGGUCUCUAAAAUGAAAGAAACAAAGGUGAAGCUGAUGAAACAAAUCCGAGAAGAACAACAGAAGAGUCGUAAUAAAGAUCAGCUAUCAAGCAGAGAGAUACAAAGAUUAAAGAAAGAAUCUAGGAAGAAAGAAACGCAGAUUAAAACAUUGGAAGCUUCAGCUAAACAGAGGGAACUUGUGCUUAAGAGAAAACAUGAACAGCUUGAGAUGCUGCGUAAGAAUCAGAAACCAAUGUCAGACAAGGUCGCUGGAAGAGUCUCUAGACCUGUGAAGAAGCCCUCUACAGUCCAAACAGAGACAGGUACAGGAGGUCAAAGGUCACUUAGCAGGAGAGGAAAGGCGAAGGUUGACACCGGCCGACCUACCAAACAUGAGAGGAAAGGAACAAGUGAAUACUCAUCAAAAACAGCCAAACAGAAAUGGAAUGUUAUGGAGAGAAAGAUCACAGAUAUCAUAGCAAGACGGCAAACACUGUCCUUCAUGGAGCGAGAUAUGGAAAGGUUUAUCCAUCAUAGACACAAACUAAGCAAGAAGGUUGAGAAGUACCUGACAAAGAGAGAUGAAGCUUUGAAGACAGGCAGCAAUGAUCCUAGUAUCCUGAAAGAUUUAGAUGAACAGAUAGAUGGAUUAAAUGAUAACAUAGAGUAUGUACAGGAACAGAUUACAGAAUGUCAGAGUGGGAUUAUGGAAGUCAUGGAGGGAAAGGAGGAGAUAGAUGCUGUUGAUGCAGCUGCUGUAGUUGAACAAUGCUCCUUGAGAGAGGCUAAAUACAUGCUGGAGCAUUUCAUUAACCUAGCUAUCAGUAAGGGUUUGAGUGCUGCACAGAAGGAGUCUCAAGUCAAAGAGUUGACAGCAAAGCUUCAUCAAGAAGAACAAAAUAGCUUUGUACAACAGACAUUAUUACAACAUAUGAUGAAAGAUAGAGAGGGAGAAGAUCUUGAAUUAGAUGGCCUUUUUAGUCAUCCUAAUAGAGAUAGCGAGAGUAGCAGCAAUAGUUCAAGGGCUCCCUCACCUGAUAUCAGUGCCUUGAAUGCAUUAGCAGUGAAUGUGCCUGAUCACACCACACUACCACAUACAGGACCAGCGAAUUCUGUAUCAUCUAUUCCUGUACCCACCCAAACCAAGGCUAAAGACAAGGCAAGAAGACGAACAGCUACAUCAGAGGAACUAUUAGGAUUCAAAGGUUCAUCUGACUUCACUCCUGACCCUGCUGUAGGUGUGGUCAUUGAAUCUGAUGAAACAUCAUCAUCAACAGAUACCGCUUCAAUAGAUUCAUCUCAGGUUCUACCAUCAAGUCAUAUACCAAUCAGAAAAGAUGGCAGAAUAGAGAAGCUUUCUCCUGCUCUUAGAAGGAAGAAUAUAACACAACUUCAAGCUUUAUCUAACCCUAGCUCUGUAGAUCAUACUCCAGACCAUACACCUCCUGGAUCACCUCCUCCUUCUAGAACUGGUAAUGUCUUCUCAAGGCUGGCUCAAACCAAUUCACCAGCUCAGUCUCAGAAAGAUAGAGGUUCAAUCAUUCCUGUGAUUAAUAAACCUACAACACCACGUGCUCCAUUAGUGUGUUCAUACACAGCUGAAGGUCAUAAUAAAGCAGUCUUAUCAGUUCAAGCCACAGAAGAACUACUAUUCAGUGGAUCUAAAGAUCGGAGUGUGAAGAUCUGGAAGCUGGAGACUGGGAAAGAGAUUGCUACUCUUGGUGGUCAUACUAAUAAUGUAGGUGUUGUGAGGUAUUGUGAGAAACUCAAGCUUGUAUUUAGUGUAUCUACUGCAUUCAUACGAAUAUGGGAUAUCAGAGAUACAACUAAAUGUGUUACUACACUAAGUUCAUCUGGAAUGCAGCUUGAUAAGACUGCUGGUAGUAGCUCAUCUAGAACAGUUACACUACCACAAGGAGAGACACAGAUCAAUGAUAUAGCUAUCAAUCAAAAUGGAACUAGACUAUAUUCAGCUGCUGGUAAUAUAGUAAGAGUAUGGGAUCUUAACAGCUUUCAGUCAAUGUGUAAGUUAUUUGGUGGACCUUCUGCAGCAGUAAUGUGUCUGGAUGUAAAGACUACACCUGAGUAUGAUCAAGUCUUUGCUGGAUCCAAAGAUCAUUAUGUCAAGAUGUUUGAGGUGGAGCCAGCUGCAUCUGGUUGUCUGACAUCAUCAUUCAACUUUGAUCCUCCUCAUUAUGAUGGUAUCCAAUCAAUGGCUAUCAAGGGGAAUUCCCUAUUCAGUGGUUCAAGGGAUGCAUGUAUUAAGAAAUGGGACUUGGAACAAAAACAACUUACAAAGGCAAUGUCUAAUGCUCAUAAAGACUGGAUAUGUGCCUUAGACUUCUUACCAAGUUACAACUGUCUGUUAAGUGGCUGUAGAGGGGGCUAUUUAAAGCUGUGGAAUAUCGAGACGUGUACCCCUGUGGGAGAGAUGAAAGCUCAUACUAGUCCUAUCAACUCCAUAGCAACCAACUCAACACAUGUCUUCACUGCUUCAAGUGACAUGAUCAAAUUAUGGAGAAAGUCUGAAAACACAAGACUAUCAAGUUUAUAGCACGCUGAACUGGUUUAUAGUGUGGUCUCAAUAGUUAUAUCUCUGCAUAUAUUUUGGUGAUAGGACCGUGAGUGUGUGGAAGAAAAAUGGGGAAGCAGAUCGGACAUGACCUUUGACCUGAUGAUGACAUAACAUCAUGAUGUAUAACUGCAAGCUUGAUGAGUCACAUCCAACUGGUUGCAUCCAGUUUUCACCAGUUUCCAGCACUUUGAUUUUCAGUGGUUCUUCUCAGUGCUACAUUCAUACAGUGUGGAUAUGGAAUUGUGAAAUUCAUGCUGAAUUGUUAGUAUGAAACUAAUAACUAUAUGAUUUCUGAAUUGCCGCAGUUAAAUGCAAGAAUUAUAGGUAUGAAUAUCACUGUAAUGCGCAAGUGCACCAUUAUACGCUGUUUCACUCUACAUGACACAUAUACAACAACAUAUAAUCUAAAUUAAGUCAUUUAUUCUUUCAUGUGAAAUGUAUGCCUACAAAGAUGUACAGAACAGGACGAAAAUAAUACAUUUCCUCUUUAAUACAUUAAAGAGGAAAUGUGACCCAAGUAGACAAAAUUAUGAAAUGGAAAUGAGAAAAUUUGGAAAGCUAAUUGGUGAAUAUUUUAACAAAACUUGCAUAUAAUAAGUAAUUUAUGCAAUUUUUACCUGUAAGAAGUUUUGAUUCCUGUAAGGUAAGGAUUACUGAGGAUAUACAUGUAUAUUAAUCUUAUUCAACACUGGGGAAAAAGUGCUUAGGAGAAAACCACACAAAUUACUGUCAAUUAAAUGAGACAAAUAGAUGUAAAAAAAACAAUCCGUAGGGUGUAUGCUAUAUUGCCACGACACCAAGAUUACCAGCACCAGAUUUUUUUGGUCCAGAGUUAAUAUGGUGUUCAUACAGUAUGGUGUCUUAGCUUUUUGAUGGUAGUAUACUCCUCAAGCAGUGGAUAAUGUGUUAAUAGGCAAUCCAGAAUGUGAGGACCAGGAUAAUACUAUAUCUGGGGAUGUCCUGAUGA